GCGGCGGCGGCAGUCGGCGGCAGCGCAGCGCCGCGGCGGUCAACCGUGGACGGCGGCAGCGGCGCACCAAGAUCUGCUUUCUCUUGCUGCCACGGAGCGCCGGCUAGAGCAGAGUGGCGGCUGCAGACGAUGAGAAGCUCCAAAUCAAGGGAUGUGAGAUGGAUCCUCUGGACUUUUUGCCUAUAAGAUUUCAUUUCGGCGGUCACUUUGUGAACGAUGGGCAGUAUGUACACUAUGUUGAUGGUGUUGUCGGAAUGUCGCAUUUGGACCGAGACAAAAUGUCAUUGCCGGAGAUAAUUGGUAGGAAGCUCAUUGCAAGGAAGUGUAGUUCCACUGGCUAAAUCAUGGGAGGAAAGAACUGCAAGAUGGGAUUGGUUUGUUGCAUGAUGAUGUGUCAUGUUUGAGCAUGGUUUCUGCAAUUGAAGAGGGAGGAGUAACUAAAAUAUAUGUAGAGAACAUUGCUAAAUAUCAUAUAUUGGCAAGUGUUAUGCCAUCAUAUGAAGAAGAGGGGGGAAAUCAGGAGGGGCAAAUUGUCCCGUGGAUAAAGUAACGAUAGAAGUGAUACAAGUAUCCGCGCCGACAGCCGAAGAUGAUACAGAUGAAGAAGACAGUGACUAUAUUCUUGGAUAUGAGAAUCUUUGGAAGAAGGAAAUGAGAUAAUCAAGAAAUAUGUAGAGUAUAAGAAGAAGAUGAAGCAAUGCGAGUUACAAUGAUUCUUGGGACUAGUUUUUCUCAUUACUCUUCAAGAUGUCAAUGUAUAUGAUGGUGAAGGCUAGGUAAUAAUUUCAUACCAACACAAAGGUAUCAUCACAGGUGUACAUAAUUGGGCCCCUCUUGCAGGACAAAGAAAUUGUGCAAGACAUGUGUAUGCCAAUUGGAGAAGAGAAUUCAGAGUGAAAGAGUGGCAAAAACUUUCUGGAAUUGUGAAAAGGUCUCUUUUGUAAGCCUUUUCAACUUGGCAAGGGCAAAGUUAGCAAGAAACUAUCAAAGGUGCAAGGGCAAUAACCAGGUUAGUUCCCAAUGCUACAGGCACAUACAGAGGGACAAAGAGACCACCACCCAUGUCCAAGCCUUCUCAACAGAGCACCAAUGUUGCAGGCACAUCCAGAGGCACAAAGAGACCACUACCCAUGUCCAGCCUCCUAAGCCUAAUGUCCAAGGGAAAGACAAGAGUAUUCAGAAGAACGCGUCCUCCUCAAAGGCUGCAAUGAAAGGUGUCGCCGCCUCACUGUCAAUGUGAAAUCUGGAAGUGCUAAUUGAUAGUUCAAGGCACUUGGAAGGGAGGCAAAAAGGCCAAGGAAAGUACCCACAAGACUGCUGGACUGAGUGUUGUGCUACUAUGUCCGAUGUGAUGCCUCUGCUAAGACCUAUCUAUAGUUUGUUUGUGUGGAACUAUGUGUGCUGUUAUUGAAGGAAAUAUGCCCUAGAG